rnacentral:rRNA from 1 species
ACUCGAGUGGCGAACGGGUGGGUAACACGUGGGUGAUCUGCCCUGCACUCUGGGAUAAGCCUGGGAAACUGGGUCUAAUACCGGAUAGGAGCCAUUUUUAGUGUGAUGGUUGGAAAGUUUUUCGGUGUAGGAUGAGCUCGCGGCCUAUCAGCUUGUUGGUGGGGUAAUGGCCUACCAAGGCGGCGACGGGUAGCCGGCCUGAGAGGGUGGACGGCCACAUUGGGACUGAGAUACGGCCCAG